GGGUUGUGAGGUUAAGCGACUAAGCGUACACGGUGGAUGCCCUGGCAGUCAGAGGCGAUGAAGGGCGUGCUAAUCUGCGAUAAGCGCCGGUAAGGUGAUAUGAACCGUUAUAACCGGCGAUACCCGAAUGGGGAAACCCAGUGUGACUCGUCACACUAUCAUUAACUGAAUCCAUAGGUUAAUGAGGCGAACCGGGGGAACUGAAACAUCUAAGUACCCCGAGGAAAAGAAAUCAACCGAGAUUCCCCCAGUAGCGGCGAGCGAACGGGGAGGAGCCCAGAGCCUGAAUCAGCAUGUGUGUUAGUGGAAGCGUCUGGAAAGGCGCGCGAUACAGGGUGACAGCCCCGUACACAAAAGCGCAUGUGCUGUGAGCUCGAUGAGUAGGGCGGGACACGUGGUAUCCUGUCUGAAUAUGGGGGGACCAUCCUCCAAGGCUAAAUACUCCUGACUGACCGAUAGUGAACCAGUACCGUGAGGGAAAGGCGAAAAGAACCCCGGCGAGGGGAGUGAAAAAGAACCUGAAACCGUGUACGUACAAGCAGUGGGAGCACCCUUUGGGGUGUGACUGCGUACCUUUUGUAUAAUGGGUCAGCGACUUAUAUUCUGUAGCAAGGUUAACCGAAUAGGGGAGCCGGAGGGAAACCGAGUCUUAAU
rnacentral:rRNA from 3 species